GUUCUGACUUGAACCCGAUUUUAAAAAAAGGAGGGGCUAACACAGGAGGGUAAAGGAAGUCUCCAUAAAACCCAGAGAAGAGAUUUUUAGAACUCCUCUCUGGAUCCUGUCUGGAGUCACCACU
rnacentral:snoRNA from 1 species